GUCAAUAUCCCUAAUGGACCUUGAGAUGAGGAACACAUAUUUAUGACUCUCAUUAAAAAAUUAGUCCGCCAUACAAUUGUGGAAGCUGUGAUUUUAAAAAUUGACAUAAAUGAACUAGGACUGGUGUUUUAUAGAGCUGAUGUGAUGUGAAAAAAAGUAUAAAAAAAUAAACCUGAACAAAUAAUUACAAAGGACAUAUUUUUUAAUGAUUUUUAUGGUCAGAAUUUAGGGAUUAUUUCCUGAGGAGAGUGACAUUUUUCACUAUCUUUCGGGGUUGGGCACUUGACGGGAAAACGAAUCACACUUGCCACCCCGAAAAUCGCACCACACAUGUGCAAGUGUCUCAGCUUCAAAAUGAGCCAUCAUACAUAUCCAAGUUUACGAUAUGGCCUGAGCAACAGAAGAAAACGUUAACAUUACCGCCUAUGGAGAAUCUAUUACGCAUAUUGCCCCAAAUUGUGGCCUUGAAUUUCAAAGGUGAUGGAGUGUUUCAUGGCUCAGUGACCACAAUUUAGGAUGAUAGCUGCUGAAAUCAAGAUAUGGCUAAAACUUCACAGAAUUGUUCAGAAAUGUGUACUAAAGGGAUACAAACUGCAAUAUAAGUGGAAUCUGACAUUAGCUGAUCUAAUAUGGGUCAAUAUCCCUAAUGGACCUUGAGAUGAGGAACACAGAUUUAUGACUCUCAUUAAAAAAUUAGUCCGCCAUACAAUUGUGGAAGCUGUGAUUUUAAAAAUUGACAUAAAUGAACUAGGACUGGUGUUUUAUAGAGCUGAUGUGAUGUGAAAAAAAGUAUAAAAAAAUAAACCUGAACAAAUAAUUACAAAGGACAUAUUUUUUAAUGAUUUUUAUGGUCAGAAUUUAGGGAUUAUUUCCUGAGGAGAGUGACAUUUUUCACUAUCUUUCGGGGUUGGGCACUUGACGGGAAAACGAAUCACACUUGCCACCCCGAAAAUCGCACCACACAUGUGCAAGUGUCUCAGCUUCAAAAUGAGCCAUCAUACAUAUCCAAGUUUACGAUAUGGCCUGAGCAACAGAAGAAAACGUUAACAUUACCGCCUAUGGAUAAUCUAUUACGCAUAUUGCCCCAUAUAC